UAAAACCAUGGAAUUGAAACCAUUCAAACAAAAAGACAGUCAUUCAAACCAUCAAAGGAAAACCAUUGCAGUGUUUGCCUUGGACAAGUGAUAAGACACCACUAGCCUCCCUUUUCUCUUUUCUAAGAACAAAAACCCUUACUGCCAAUACCACCCUCGGCAUUUCUGGGUUGCCCCACAGUGAAUCCAAAGUAAAGGUGAACAAUACUGAUGGGAAAAUGCACCUGGAGAUUGUUUAAAUUUUUCACUGCAUUUUAUGCAGGUGCUUGCACAUCCUUUUCCAAUGCUUUAUGCUUGUGGCAGUUGGUUGUCAAAUAUGGAGUGGAAUAUUGGACAUCCCUUUACAGAUAUAUUUUCUUAUUCUGCUGUGCUGUCUUGUUGAAAUAAAUUUGAUCCAGGAUCUUUUUAA